GAUUAACGCUGGCGGCGUGCAUAACACAUGCAAGUCGAACGAUGAAGAUUAAAGGAUUUCUUCGGAAUGACAUUAAUUGGAUUAGUGGCGGACGGGUGAGUAACGCGUGAGUAACCUGCCUUACACGAGGGGAUAGCCGUUGGAAACGACGAAUAAUACCCUAUAACAUUAACCAAUCGCAUGAUAGGUUAAUCAAAGAUUUAUCGGUGUAAGAUGGACUCGCGUCUGAUUAGCUAGUUGGUGGGGUAACAGCCUACCAAGGCAACGAUCAGUAGCCGGCUUGAGAGAGUGUACGGCCACAUUGGGACUGAGACACGGCCCAGGCUCCUACGGGAGGCAGCAGUGGGGAAUUUUGCACAAUGGGGAAACCCUGAUGCAGCGACGCCGCGUG
rnacentral:rRNA from 1 species